UCCGAUAUGGUGUAGUGGCUAACAUUUUAUCGCCUCUCACGCGAUAGCCCGGGGUUCGAUUCCCCGUGUCGGAA